UACGUAGGUGGCAAGCGUUGUUCGGAAUUACUGGGCGUAAAGCGCGUGUAGGCGGCUCUUCAAGUCAGGCGUGAAAGCCCCGGGCUUAACUCGGGAACUGCGCUUGAUACUGUCGAGCUAGAGUGUAGAAGGGGCGAUUGGAAUUCCGUGUGUAGCGGUGAAAUGCGUAGAUAUACGGAGGAACACCAGAGGCGAAGGCGGAUCGCUGGGCCAACACUGACGCUGAGACGCGAAAGCUAGGGGAGCAAACGGG
rnacentral:rRNA from 1 species